rnacentral:rRNA from 1 species
UACAGAGGUCUCAAGCGUUGUUCGGAUUCAUUGGGCGUAAAGGGUGUGUAGGUGGCGCGCUAAGUCGGGUGUGAAAUUUCGGAGCUUAACUCCGAAACUGCAUUCGAUACUGCGGUGCUUGAGGACUGGAGAGGAGACUGGAAUUCCCGGUGUAGCGGUGAAAUGUGUAGAGAUCGGGAGGAACACCGGUGGCGAAGGCGGGUCUCUGGGCAUUUCCUGACGCUGAGGCGCGAAAGCGUGGGGAGCAAACGGG